AGAGAACGUGCCCAAGGGUAUCCAGCUGCCUCCUGCCUUGCCUUGUCUCUGAGCUCAGAGGAGGAGGGGGCAAACCACAAUAAGUAAGCAGUAGCUCAUCCUGCAAUCAGGGGAAGAGGAUGCUGGAGUGUAGCUGAGGACAGGGAUCCUGGGGGAAAAGAACAAGAGAAGGAAAAUAACUAUCUGAGCCUCCUGGUAGUCAGCAGCAGUGGACAAAUGACCAGAUUCCACAGAAUUUUUCUGGUGUGAUUCAAAACAAUGAAACCUGCACAAAGAUUUCUAGUGCAUGGUAAUAUCCAUUAUGUGGCUACCUCUUCAGCAAAAUCAAGCACUGAGAACCAUUACAGACAACGUGCUAUGUAUGCUUACUUUUUACCAAUACAGACAAGAUGGCAGGACAACGAUAAGUAUGGGCAUGUGAACAAUGCUGUCUACUACAGCUAUUUCGACACUAUAAUCAACCAUUUUCUGAUCAGUAUGUUGCUGCUCCUCAGGGACUGCCCCCCAGACUUCCUUUGUAUAUUUACUCAUUUUGGUGAUUUUGAAGUAGUUUUGGGAUUAAGUAGGUAAAUGUAUUUAUGCACUUCCACUCUACUCCUAUAUGCCCCAGUGAUCCAGAAUGAAGCAAACAUUCAAACUGAAACACCGCUGCAGCAAAGACACAAGUAUUUAAACACUUGGGCAGUACUUGAAGUAAAUUUAGUUUCACACAUAAUUCACUUAAAUAUCUUUUUUGCAUUAAAAUUGUGUUGAAAUUGGUAUUUGAAAAUAAACUUUAAAAAUUAUAUGUAAACUGAAUGGUUAGUUCUCUGUAACCCACAGUACUUUGUAUAUGCUAAUAGCAACAUCUCUUAGAUGAUGAACAGGGCUUUUUUUGAUAUUGCUUAGGCACUGGCACAUGUCCUUUCUUGUGGAUGUUGGCAAGCACUAGCAUUUGUCUUGUCAUGAAGCACUGUCAAACCCUCUUAUGAUAUAGGUAUUACAUGUCCUUUCUCAAGGGUGUUGAUGAGCAGCAGCUGUUAUAACCCUUUCUUUGAUUUUUGUUAAAAGCCAAAAGGCCUUUUCAUAAUGACCCUUAUUUCGGUAACAGUCCUGCCAACAUUUGUGCAUGUGCACAAAAGUAAUCCCUCUGAAGUCAGUUAGUUCUGUGUUUAAGAUUUUGCAGGAUUGGAAUCCGAUUGUAUGUAACUCAUUUUGUUCUAUGUAACUGCCAUAUCUAGGGUGAACUGCAUGGAGCGCUCAUGGAAAUUAGACAAAUGCUAAUCUUGCUUUCUGUGCAUGGUUUAUGUGUCUGAAAACUUCAUAGUACUGCCACUGGGGGAUGCACACCUUAGGAAAGUGACAUAAUUAACCAAAAGGAAUAAUUUAGAUGUUAGUUCCUGAUUUCAAAAAAUGAAACUGCCAACAAAAAUUCAGAUGGGUAAAUUAAGCAAUUCUGAUUUUCAUACAUUAAAUUGACUGUUCUGAC